rnacentral:rRNA from 1 species
AGAGCGAACGCUGGCGGCAGGCCUAACACAUGCAAGUCGAGCGCCCGUAGCAAUACGGGAGCGGCAGACGGGAUAGUAACACGUGGGAACGCGCCCUUCGGUUCGGAAUAACUCAGGGAAACUUGAGCUAAUACCGGAUACGCCCUUACGGGGAAAGAUUUAUUGCCGAAGGAACGGCCCGCGUCCGAUUAGCUAGUUGGUGAGGUAAUGGCUCACCAAGGCGACGAUCGGUAGCUGGUCUGAGAGGAUGACCAGCAUCACUGGGACUGAGACACGGCCCAGACUCCUACGGGAGGCAGCAGUGGGGAAUAUUGGACAAUGGGCGCAAGCCUGAUCCAGCCAUGCCGCGUGGAUGAUGAAGGCCUUAGGGUUGUAAAGUCCUUUUAACGGGAAGAUAAUGACGGUACCGUAGAAUAAGCCCCGGCUAACUUCGUGCCAGCAGCCGC